rnacentral:rRNA from 1 species
UACAGAGGGGGCAAGCGUUAUUCGGAAUUAUUGGGCGUAAAGGGCGCGUAGGCGGCUUUUCAAGUCGGGCGUGAAAUCUCCAGGCUUAACCUGGAAGGGUCGUUCGAUACUGUUAAGCUAGAGUGUGGAAGAGGCUACUGGAAUUCCGUGUGUAGCGGUGAAAUGCGUAGAUAUACGGAGGAACACCUGCGGCGAAGGCGGGUAGCUGGGCCAACACUGGCGCUGAGGCGCGAAAGCUAGGGGAGCAAACAGG